GUAGGUAGCCACCUUAAAGCGUAUCAGCCGGGCAGAAACUAUUUUCCUUUAUUUAGAAACUCUUUGCAUAUUCAAACUAGGAUGCAGUUCAAUACUUUGCUAUGCAUAUUCUAAUUCUUUCAAUCUUAGGUACAUGUAAACAUAUAAUAUAAACAUAACACAGCAUAAUAUAGUUUGUAAACCUUGAGUGGGUGCAUUUACGAUUUG